rnacentral:rRNA from 1 species
AUUGAACGCUGGCGGCAUGCUUUACACAUGCAAGUCGAACGGCAGCGCGGGGCAACCUGGCGGCGAGUGGCGAACGGGUGAGUAAUAUAUCGGAACGUACCCAAGAGUGGGGGAUAACGUAGCGAAAGUUACGCUAAUACCGCAUACGAUCCAUGGAUGAAAGUGGGGGAUUCGCAAGAACCUCAUGCUCCCGGAGCGGCCGAUAUCUGAUUAGCUAGUUGGUGAGGUAAAGGCUCACCAAGGCGACGAUCAGUAGCUGGUCUGAGAGGACGACCAGCCACACUGGGACUGAGAUACGGCCCAGACUCCUACGGGAGGCAGCAGUGGGGAAUUUUGGACAAUGGGCGCAAGCCUGAUCCAGCAAUGCCGCGUGAGUGAAGAAGGCCUUCGGGUUGUAAAGCUCUUUUGUCAGGGAAGAAACGGUUGGGGCUAAUAUCCCCGGCUAAUGACGGUACCUGAAGAAUAAGCACCGGCUAACUACGUGCCAGCAGCCGCGGUAAUACGUAGGGUGCAAGCGUUAAUCGGAAUUACUGGGCGUAAAGCGUGCGCAGGCGGUUUUGUAAGUCUGUCGUGAAAGCCCCGGGCUCAACCUGGGAAUUGCGAUGGAGACUGCAAGGCUUGAAUCUGGCAGAGGGGGGUAGAAUUCCACGUGUAGCAGUGAAAUGCGUAGAGAUGUGGAGGAACACCGAUGGCGAAGGCAGCCCCCUGGGUCAAGAUUGACGCUCAUGCACGAAAGCGUGGGGAGCAAACAGGAUUAGAUACCCUGGUAGUCCACGCCCUAAACGAUGUCUACUAGUUGUCGGGUCUUAAUUGACUUGGUAACGCAGCUAACGCGUGAAGUAGACCGCCUGGGGAGUACGGUCGCAAGAUUAAAACUCAAAGGAAUUGACGGGGACCCGCACAAGCGGUGGAUGAUGUGGAUUAAUUCGAUGCAACGCGAAAAACCUUACCUACCCUUGACAUGUCAGGAACCUCCGAGAGAUUGGAGGGUGCCCGAAAGGGAACCUGAACACAGGUGCUGCAUGGCUGUCGUCAGCUCGUGUCGUGAGAUGUUGGGUUAAGUCCCGCAACGAGCGCAACCCUUGUCAUUAGUUGCUACGAAAGGGCACUCUAAUGAGACUGCCGGUGACAAACCGGAGGAAGGUGGGGAUGACGUCAAGUCCUCAUGGCCCUUAUGGGUAGGGCUUCACACGUCAUACAAUGGUACAUACAGAGGGCCGCCAACCCGCGAGGGGGAGCUAAUCCCAGAAAGUGUAUCGUAGUCCGGAUCGCAGUCUGCAACUCGACUGCGUGAAGUUGGAAUCGCUAGUAAUCGCGGAUCAGCAUGUCGCGGUGAAUACGUUCCCGGGUCU